GUGCUCACUUCAGCAGCACAUAUACUAAAGUUGGAACAAUACAGAGAAGAUCAGCAUGGUCCCUGCAAACUUGGGAUGCAUUCCAGUGAUGAGAUUCAGGACCUU